rnacentral:rRNA from 1 species
UACAGAGGUCUCAAGCGUUGUUCGGAUUCAUUGGGCGUAAAGGGUGCGUAGGUGGUGGGGUAAGUCGGAUGUGAAAUCCCGGGGCUCAACCCCGGAACUGCAUUCGAAACUGCCUUGCUCGAGUACUGGAGAGGAGACUGGAAUUUACGGUGUAGCAGUUAAAUGCGUAGAUAUCGUAAGGAAGACCAGUGGCGAAGGCGAGUCUCUGGACAGUUACUGACACUGAGGCACGAAGGCCAGGGGAGCAAACGGG